CCAAAGGCACUGAGGCAUCUGUCCUGAGGGGACCUCAGGCACAGCCUAUUGUAAUGACUGAUGAUGGAGAAAGCACCUGAGAAACCACAGAACUGCAGUCUGGCAUUUCAGAAGCAUGGGAGACGUAGAUGCUAGCAUUAGAGAUGAGCUUGGGGAAUGUCUGUUCUUCAGCAUUUCCAGAUGAGGGAACUGAGGCCUGCACAGCUGAAGAGAGCACUGCCACACCCCAACUCCAGGUGUGCAUGUACCAAGGAAAAGCAAAAUAAUAUGGCUGAAUCAUCCUCUUCAUUCCUUACCCCUCCCGAGUCCUGCAGAGCCAGAAGUAAAUUCAUUCCUCUUCCUUCUUAAGGGAAGAGAAAUGGUUGUGUACACCCUGGGAGGAAUCACUUGGCCUUUGGAGAAAGUUUGCUGCCACGCGGAAUGCAGGACAAUGAAGACAAUAAAGGCUUCUUCCACUGGGGGACCGUGCAGUACAGUAACAAAGGAGGCUGAUUCUAAAGGAAACGCCGGGUAAUCUACUCAGCCUUUCUUAACAUCAGUUUCUUACUGUAACGGCCAAUCCUCACUGUCAGCCUGACGGGCUUUAGCAGAUGGUGAAGCACACCUCUCGGCCUCUGAGGGCCUGGUCAGAGAGGAUUAACUACAGGAGCAGAGUCACUCUGAUCUAGAGUGCCACCAUCCUGUGGAUUCCCCGAGAGAAUAAAAGGAGAAAGGGAA